UACGAGGGGGGGCGAGCGUUGUUCGGAAUUAUUGGGCGUAAAGGGCUCGUAGGCGGUUUGUCGCGUCGGGAGUGAAAACACUGGGCUUAACUCAGUGCUUGCUUUCGAUACGGGCAGACUAGAGGUAUGCAGGGGAGAACGGAAUUCCUGGUGUAGCGGUGAAAAUGCGCAGAUAUCAGGAGGAACACCGGUGGCGAAGGCGGUUCUCUGGGCAUUACCUGACGUGAGGAGCGAAAGUGUGGGGAGCGAACAGG
rnacentral:rRNA from 1 species